AACUUUUAGCUCUCUGGCUCUGUCCCGUCCUCUUGUGGGGCGUUGUGACUGUUCUAAGAGCUUUUCUGGUUGAAAGCGCUUCUGCCCUUUAUUGGGUUGGUUGUGUGAUCUGCCUCUUUUACUGUGAGAAAAACAAAGUGCUCAAAGCAGGCUUUACAGCUUGAAUGCGUUAGCAUGGAAUAAUAAGAUAGGACUUUGUUUCUAUUUUGUUGGCUCUGAGGAACAAAGUAAUGAUUGAUAGGGAUAGUUGGGGGUGCUCGUAUUUAACGGUCAGCGGUGAAAUGCAUGGACCCGUUAAAGACGAACCUAUGCGAAAGCAUU
rnacentral:rRNA from 1 species